rnacentral:rRNA from 1 species
GCGAACGCUGGCGGCAGGCCUAACACAUGCAAGUCGAGCGCCCCGCAAGGGGAGCGGCAGACGGGAGAGUAACACGUGGGAACGUACCCUUCAGUACGGAACAACCAAGGGAAACUUUGGCUAAUACCGUAUACGUCCGUAAGGAGAAAGAUUUAUCGCUGAAGGAUCGGCCCGCGUCUGAUUAGCUAGUUGGUGAGGUAAUGGCUCACCAAGGCGACGAUCAGUAGCUGGUCUGAGAGGAUGAUCAGCCUCACUGGGACUGAGACACGGCCCAGACUCCUACGGGAGGCAGCAGUGGGGAAUAUUGGACAAUGGGCGCAAGCCUGAUCCAGCCAUGCCGCGUGGGUGAUGAAGGCCCUAGGGUUGUAAAGCCCUUUCGGCGGGGAAGAUAAUGACGGUACCCGCAGAAGAAGCCCCGGCUAACUUCGU